AUGAAACGUUGACGACUAAGCGAAGAAGAAAGCAGCAUGGAGAAAAGAGACUCAAAAGCAUUGGAGAGACAAAAAAGAAAAAGAAUAAUCUAUUAGGAAAAUUAGAAAGUAUAAAAAAAAAAGUAAAGAUCGCAGUAGCGCAAACAAAUGGAAAUUAUUACUCGAAAAAGGGAAAAUAAUCACCACGGACCAGGUGUCAUUGAAACAAAAGCAGGAUAAAGCGAGGCCAGAAAUAAAAGACAGAGUAGAAAACAAAGUAAAACGUCAUAAAGAGGUUAAGAAACAAGAGGGCCAGA